UACGAAGGGUGCAAACGUUGCUCGGAAUUAUUGGGCGUAAAGCGCACGUAGGCGGCUUUGCAAGUCCCAUGUGAAAUCCCACGGCUCAACCGUGGAAGUGCAUGGGAAACUGCAGAGCUUGAGUACUUAAGAGGAUCGCGGAAUUCCCGGUGUAGAGGUGAAAUUCGUAGAUAUCGGGAGGAACACCAGUGGCGAAGGCGGCUGCCUGGACAGAUACUGACGCUCAUGCACGGAAGCGUGGGGAGCAAACAGG
rnacentral:rRNA from 1 species